rnacentral:sRNA from 1 species
CCUGAAGGAAGAUCGGCUAAGUUCGGCACGUCCUGUGCCAACGCCGAUCUGACCCACAUCAUGUGAG